ACACGACUACAUUAGAUACCCGCGUAGUCCCAGCCCUAAACGAUGCGCGUUAGGUGUAUCGGUGACCACGAGUCACCGAGGUGCCGAAGGGAAACCGUGAAACGUGCCGCCUGGGAAGUACGGUCGCAAGGCUGAAACUUAAAGGAAUUGGCGGGGAGCACCACAACGGGUGGAGCCUGCGGUUUAAUUGGACUCAACGCCGGGAAGCUCACCGGAUAAGACAGCGGAAUGAUUGCCGGGCUGAAGACUCUACUUGAUGAUCUG
rnacentral:rRNA from 1 species